GAAUAGAAAACUUUUCUGUAGAAUUUGUUUACAUUGUGUCUAUUUUUAUAAAUGAUAAUUUACUUUCAUCUGAAAUAGACACAAUCUGCUGUGGAAAACAAUGUGAACGAACUCUGCAAAAAAGUUUUCUAUACGAUGCUGACGUCACGAUAGGGAGAUAUGACAGUAGCUGAUGUUGGCUCAUUGACUUUCAGGAUGGGGCGUGUCUAUUCUAUAACUGGUCUAAGGGCAUCACAAUCAACUUGAUCAAACAAUCAUAUGGCAUUGAAAAAGAGCGGCGAUCCGGUGAACAAAAUCAUGCUACCAGUGAGUCUUUUACUUUUUCCGCGAGUUUUUGAAUUUCUAACCUAAAAUAAUAAGUUUAGAACUUUUAUUACCAAAUUACCAGUGAAUACCAGACCAGCCUACUACCGCGACGCAAAAUGGCAUGUUCUUUUAAUAGUUCGCGUUCAUCUGAAAUUCUAAAUAAAAAAUAUUACAUGUGCCAACGAUUUAAUGUAGGAUUAUGUAUGGUUCCCUGCUCUGAUGUAAAUUACACUAAAGUUAAAAUUAUGAAAGUAACAGUAGUGUCAUGUAAAUAGUGCAAAAAAUAUGAAAAUUGUGGAGUGACCAACAACAUAGGUACCAUACUAUGUAAUCAAAAUGGAAAGAGUGAGAGAAGAACAUGUCCUUUGGUCAUAUGGUAUUUUGUUGGAGAUGUAGAGCCCUGAAUACAAGAAUGAGUGCCUAAGAAGCUCUUUACUGGCUUUUGGGGUCCUAGUCCUAUACAGCAGUCAAGUAGAGCUUCUCUUACAGUAGUAUAAUAAACACAAAGAGCAAAUACGUUCACCAAACAGUUAAUUAUUAUAGAUGAACUGGAAUUUGGAUGAAUUGAGGAGAAAAAAGAAGAAUUAGAAACAUCUUACACGCUACAAACUAAAAUGAUUUUAUUGAAUUUGAAAGCAUUCACAUGACAUGUCUCUAGCAACCUGCUUCAAGCAUUUUUUGGAUUUUUGGCUUGGAAUCUCUCUUAUUCUGCAAUUAUUCCUCGUUCAUAAAUAAUUAUCAUUCUGGCUCUGAAUAAUUUUAUUGAAUGACAUUUUCUUGUUUGUUAAAUUAGUCUAUAUCUUAUCAAUGGAAGGUACGGUAUGUGUCAAAAUGAUAAUAACUUAUUGAAUACUA